rnacentral:rRNA from 1 species
UGGCUCAGGAUGAACGCUAGCUACAGGCUAACACAUGCAAGUCGAGGGGCAGCAUGGGGGUUGGCUCGCCAAUCCCCGAUGGCGACCGGCGCACGGGUGAGUAACACGUAUCCAACCUGCCCGCAACCGCGGAAUAGCCCGCCGAAAGGCGGAUUAAUGCCGCAUGAGCUCGCGUGGGGGCAUCGUCCCGCGAGCAAAGGUCCAUUCCGGUUGCGGAUGGGGAUGCGUCCGAUUAGGCAGCAGGCGGGGCAACGGCCCACCUGGCCAUCGAUCGGUAGGGGUUCUGAGAGGAAGGUCCCCCACAUUGGAACUGAGACACGGUCCAAACUCCUACGGGAGGCAGCAGUGAGGAAUAUUGGUCAAUGGGCGCGAGCCUGAACCAAGCCAAGUAGCGUGGGGGACGACUGCCCUACGGGUUGUAAACCCCUUUUGCGCGGGGAUAAACCGGCGGACGGGUCCGCCGCUGCAGGUACCGCGCGAAUAAGGACCGGCUAAUUCCGUGCCAGCCGCAGC